ensembl:snoRNA Gm22592 small nucleolar RNA SNORA17
AAUGCCCUAGAAGAAUUGCUGGUGUGUCUGCUGUAUCACAUUUGUGUCAGUAGGUGGCAGAGGAGAGGCUGUGUUUAUGCUCAGUGCUCUGACCUAUAUCUGAUUGAGUGAUUAGUAACCUAACAUU